UCGAGCGUCAUUUCAACCCAUCAAGCUUCGGCUUGGACUUGGGGCCUGCGGUUUCGCAGCCUCUAAACUCAGUGGCGGUGCUAUUGAGCUCUGAGCGUAGUAAUUUUUCUCGCUAUAGGGUCUCGGUAGUUACUUGCCAGUAACCCCCCAAUUUUUAUCAGGUUGACCUCGGAUCAGGUAGGGAUACCCGCUGAACUUAA
rnacentral:misc_RNA from 1 species